GGAAUCUCAGAGCAGGAACGACACGAGCACUCUCUUCACUCUCCAAAGUUCUUCUGACGGAAACAGGAAGUUGCCCCGUCUUCAGCCACCUGGAGGCGCUGCUACAGUGUCGAAGGAAGAAAAGCUUUUGCUCCAAGACACGGAGAAAGAUCAUCGGGAGAAGAGUCCGUGAACGUUCGGCAGAGUAAUAAUUGUUCUUAUUUAGAAAGAGAACCGACUGGUGAAAGUCGAAAACCUGAUGAUGUCUCCUGGAAAACUGUGUUUGGUUUCUAACCAACAGUGCAUGACGUUCAUUUGUGGAGGUAUGGAGGAAUUGAGGACAGAAAAAAACAUUCAAUCUGAUCAUGCAUAAGUCUAAAAACCACAUACAAAAGUAGUUUUUGUCCCGGUCAGGGAUUGGAAAGCUCUAUAUGGUAACAGAAAAAGGAAAAACAGGAAAAUAAGUGAUUCCCGGCUGACAGGUUUUCUGGGGAUUAGUGUGUAUUUAUUGGCUGAAAAGGAGUUUGCUCUGCUGGCCAAAAGUGUCCAUCAGCAUGGUAUCGCCCAUUUGUGUGAAUUCUGGCUGUGGCAGCCAUCUAUGAAUGCUACAUCCGUAGCAUUCGUCACCAUGACAACCCUGACUUUUUUUCCCCAUCUGUAUGCACUGAAACAGAGCUGUGUGCAUUAAGCAGAGGCUAUCUGUCAAACAUGACAAUUUCACAAUACUUGACAAAGUGAUGCUUGUUUGCAUUCUGGGCUUGUUUUCAGGAAAUCGCUCUGACUGGAUCACACGAAGAAACAAAAACACAAAAGCCAAAAAAAAA